rnacentral:rRNA from 1 species
AGUGGCGGACGGGUGAGUAACGCGUGGGUAACCUGCCCUUUUGUGGGGAACAACUUCGAGAAAUCGGAGCUAAUACCGCAUAAUAAUAGAGGAUCGCAUGAUUCUUUAAGGAAAGAUGGCCUCUGAAGAUGCUAUCGCAAAAGGAUGGACCCGCGUCUGAUUAGCUAGUUGGAAGGGUAACGGCCUACCAAGGCAACGAUCAGUAGCCGGCCUGAGAGGGUGAACGGCCACAUUGGGACUGUGACACGGCCCAAACUCCUACGGGAGGCAGCAGUGGGGAAUCUUCCGCAAUGGGCGAAAGCCUGACGGAGCAAUGCCGCGUGAGUGAAGAAGGCCUUCGGGUUGUAAAACUCUGUCCUUAUCGAAGAGAGGUAGGUAUGUGAAUAAUGUACCUAUAGGACGGUAGAUAAGGAGGAAGCCCCGGCUAACUACGUGCCAGCAGCCGCGGUAAUACGUAGGGGGCGAGCGUUGUCCGGAAUCACUGGGCGUAAAGGGCGCGUAGGCGGUUUAAUAAGUCAGUGGUGAAAACUGAGGGCUCAACCCUCAGCCUGCCACUGAUACUGUUAGACUUGAGUAUGGAAGAGGAGAAUGGAAUUCCUAGUGUAGCGGUGAAAUGCGUAGAUAUUAGGAGGAACACCAGUGGCGAAGGCGAUUCUCUGGGCCAAGACUGACGCUGAGGCGCGAAAGCGUGGGGAGCAAACAGGAUUAGAUACCCUGGUAGUCCACGCCGUAAACGAUGGAUACUAGGUGUUAGUAGUUUCGAUGCUACUAGUGCCGGAAGUAACACAAUAAGUAUCCCGCCUGGGGAGU